ACUCCAUAUCGGCGGUGGAAACUGAUGAACUAGAGGGUGGUAGGGGUCACGGGAAUUCCCAGUGUAGCGGUGAAAUGCGUAGAUAUUGGGAAGAACACCAGCGGCGAAAGCGCGUGACUGGGCCAUUACUGACACUCAUGGACGAAAGCUAGGGGAGCGAAAGGGAUUAGAUACCCCUGUAGUCCUAGCCGUAAACGAUGGACACUAGGUGUUGCCCGAUCGACCCGGGCAGUGCCGUAGCUAACGCGUUAAGUGUCCCGCCUGGGGAGUACGCACGCAAGUGUGAAACUCAAAGGAAUUGACGGGGGCCCGCACAAGCGGUGGAGUAUGUGGUUUAAUUCGAUGCAACGCGAAGAACCUUACCAGGGCUUGACAUGUCGCGAAUCCCCUUGAAAGGGGGGAGUGCCUUCGGGAGCGCGAGCACAGGUGGUGCAUGGCUGUCGUCAGCUCGUGUCGUGAGAUGUUGGGUUAAGUCCCGCAACGAGCGCAACCCACGUUUCUAGUUGCCAGCAUUCAGUUGGGCACUCUAGAGAGACUGCCGGUGACCAACCGGAGGAAGGUGUGGAUGACGUCAAGUCAGCAUGCCCCUU
rnacentral:rRNA from 1 species